rnacentral:rRNA from 1 species
AUUGAACGCUGGCGGCAUGCCUUACACAUGCAAGUCGAACGGCAGCACGGUUGCUUGCUCCUGUUACCGAGUGCCGAACGGGUGAGUAUUACAUCUGCACAUGUCCUUUCGUUUUGGAUGGGCAGGCGAAAGCGGGAUUAAUACUGCAUACGAACUACGCCUGAAGGCGGGGGCAGUUGAGCUUUGGCCCUUUAGCGUUUGCCGAUGCCGGAUUAGCUAGUUGGUGGGGUAAAGGCCUACCAAGGCGACGAUCAGUAGCUGGUCUGAGAGGACGAGCAGCCACACUGGGACUGAGACACGGCCCAGACUCCUACGGGAGGCAGCAGUGGGGAAUUUUGGACAAUGGGCGAAAGCCUGAUCCAGCAAUGCCGCGUGUGUGAAGAAGGCCUUCGGGUUGUAAAGCACUUUUGUCCGGAAAGAAAACCAGCGCCCUAAUACGGUCGGGUGAUGACGGUACCGGAAGAAUAAGCACCGGCUAACUACGUG